rnacentral:rRNA from 1 species
UCGGGAAUUUUGGGCAAUGGGCGAAAGCCUGACCCAGCAACGCCGCGUGAAGGAUGAAGUAUUUCGGUAUGUAAACUUCGAAAGAAUAGGAAGAAUAAAUGACGGUACUAUUUAUAAGGUCCGGCUAACUACGUGCCAGCAGCCGCGGUAAUACGUAGGGACCAAGCGUUGUUCGGAUUUACUGGGCGUAAAGGGCGCGUAGGCGGCAUGACAAGUCACUUGUGAAAUCUCUGGGCUUAACCCAGAACGGCCAAGUGAUACUGUCGCGCUAGAGUGCAGAAGGGGCAAUCGGAAUUCUUGGUGUAGCGGUGAAAUGCGUAGAUAUCAAGAGGAACACCUGAGGUGAAGACGGGUUGCUGGGCUGACACUGACGCUGAGGCGCGAAAGCCAGGGGAGCAAAUGGGAUUAGAUACCCAAGUAGUCCCUGAGCGGGCUGGCAAGGCGCAU